GACAGAGGUGCCAAGCGUUAGGCGGAAUCACUGGGCUUAAAGCGUGUGUAGGCGGAUGCCUAAGUACCUUGUGAAAUCCCACGGCUCAACCGUGGAACUGCUGGGUAUACUGGUUGUCUUGAGCCAGCUAGGGGCGAGCGGAACAGACGGUGGAGCGGUGAAAUGCGUAGAUAUCGUCUGGAACGCCGAAGGUGAAAACAGCUCGCUGGGGCUGCGCUGACGCUGAGACACGAAAGCCAGGGGAGCGAACGGG
rnacentral:rRNA from 1 species